rnacentral:rRNA from 1 species
CUACGGGAGGCUGCAGUCGAGAAUCUUUCGCAAUGGGGGAAACCCUGACGAAGCGACGCCGCGUGGGCGAUGAAGGCCUUCGGGUUGUAAAGCCCUGUCACGAGGGACGAGAGCCGGAGAUCUAACAGAUCGAAGGCUUGACUGUACCUCGAGAGGAAGCCACGGCUAACUCCGUGCCAGCAGCCGCGGUAAUACGGAGGUGGCUAGCGUUGUUCGGAUUCAUUGGGUGUAAAGGGCAUGUAGGUGGCCUUGUAAGUCAGAUGUGAAAUCCCUUGGCUCAACCAAGGAACUGCAUCUGAAACUGCAUGGCGUGAGUGCAGGAGAGGAGAACGGAAUUCCCGGUGUAAGAGUGAAAUCUGUAGAGAUCGGGAGGAACACCAGUGCCGAAGGCGGUUCUCUGGACUGCAACUGACACUGAAAUGCGAAAGCUAGGGGAGCAAACAGGAUUAGAUACCCGUGUAGUC